GGCUAGCCUUUCAUGCUUUUGCUUACACCAGAAAUACAGAAAACACAACACGUUUUGCCUUUUCUUUCUUCUUAUUAGAAAAAUAAAAUCUCCUUUAAAUCUCUCUGUCUCUCACUUUCUCUCUCUCUGUUUGUCAAUGUCAAACGGAGAUGACUGUUAACCGUAACGGAAUGCAAUGACAGAAGUUUGCCGAAGAAAGUCCAACGACAAUGAAGACGAUUCGGCGGCGAAAUGCAGGGAGCGCCGAAGAAGGAGAAUCGAGAUGAGGCGUCUCGCCGCUAUCUCAACCACUCGUGGUUCUCCUCAGCCGACUUACGCAAAAGGUUCAAAAGAGAAGAGCCAGGCGACGGGGGAGGGGAGCUCGAGUUCAACCGCUGAGGGAAAGCGGAUUGUUGAGACUGUGAGUGAAAUUCAGACGGUGGAGCCGGUGUUUGGGAGCAUGUCAGUGUCAGGGAGGUCACGUGAGAUGGAAGAUGCGAUUUCUGUUCGUACUAGCUUUUGCCUGCCGGGGAUUAACCGCCGAAGGCCGUUGCAUUUGUUUGGUGUUUAUGACGGUCAUGGCGGUUAUCACGUGGCAGCGUUAUGCAGGGAAAAGAUGCACGUGUUAAUAGAGGAAGAAUUGGAACGCGUGGAAUCAACGUGCGGGAGUGGUGAGAGUGGGGAAUUUGGGGCGGAAUGGGAGGAAAUGUGGAGGGGAGUGAUGAAGAGAAGCUACGAGAGAAUGGAUGAGGUGGCACUGAGCACGUGCGCAUGUGGGAGUGAGGGUUUCCAAUGUGAGUGCCGCCCUACCCAGAUGAUACUUGGUGGCUCCACAGCGGUGGUGGCUGUGUUAACCCCGGAGCAUAUAAUUGUUGCUAAUUGCGGUGACUCACGCGCCGUGCUUUCACGAGGUGGAAGGGCCAUUCCCCUUAGUGUUGAUCAUAAGCCGGAUAGGCAAGAUGAACUCGCAAGAAUUGAAGCUGCUGGAGGUCGAGUGAUCUACCUGGAUGGAGCUCGAGUUGAAGGCAUUCUCGCUAUGUCUCGAGCAAUAGGGGACGAGUAUUUAAAGCCAUUUGUGAUACCGGAGCCUGAGAUUACUUUUACAAAAAGAGAAUCAGUAGAUGACUGCUUGCUCCUUGCAAGUGAUGGCUUAUGGGAUGUUUUGUCUGGUGACUUGGCUUGUAAGGUAGCUCGGCAGUGCCUCCGAGAAGAAAAUCCUCCUCCUGUCAAUGCUGGCCCUCAGAUCAAAGAUGAAGGAGCUGGAGCUCUAUAUCCAUCUCGAAGCAUGUUGGCCGCCGCACUUCUUACUCGCCUUGCUUUAGGACGGAGAAGCUGUGAUAACAUCAGUGUUAUUGUUGUUGAUCUCAAAAGUAGCUGAGCUUCAGUUUGUCAGGAUGGCCUAGGAGGGGAUCCAUCAUCGUUUUAGCAGUGUCGUUCCAGUUUUGGUUGCAUCAGUUUUACUCAAGUUGGCCAUCUAAUUCGUAGCUCGCAAACUAUCUUUAUUAAUUCCUAGUUGGUACCUAGCCAAGAUGAGCUGAGCUUUCUCUGUGAAGUUCAACAUCUUUUGAUUCUGUUCUUCUGCGGGGGCCUCAAGGCUGCCUUCUUCUCUCCUGGUAUGAACUCACGACACCCAUCUCUUGCUGAAGUGACACUGUGGCUGUGGCCAUUUCCACCUGCAUAACUACCAUUUCUUGAGAUUUGCAUGUCCUUUUGGAGGCUAGAGUCAUUCAUCUUUUAUUUAUUUUUUUGGUGCUCCUUCCAGCCAACGCAAUUGAGUGGAAAGUCUACUCUUUUAUGGGAUUUUAGGACUUUGGCAGUUAGUCUCUGUCUCUGAGGAUUUAAUGGGGCUGUGUUGUUUGACUUGAGAGAGAAGGAGGACAUCUGUGAUUAAAUUUAGUGACAUGUCCCGCUUUCUAAGAAAAACAUGUUGAGUUGCCGUGUUCUUAAAACACCAUAUUUAUUAAAUAGUAUUUUUCUAAAACAUCAAGCUGGAAAUAUACUAUUUCAUCAAAAAAAAAAAAUUAUAUUAUUCUAUCAAAUUUUUUUAAAUUAGUGUGCUGAUUUUUUUUUUAAAAAAAAAUCCACAGCUAAGUCCACCUACUUAUUACCAGAAAUAAAACUCAUGGCCCAACCUAACAGCUCGUUGUCUAAGAAAUUCAGGAAAUCCUCUUUGACCACAGGAAUUGUGGAAGAACUCAAAUAAAACAAAUUUCCAAGCUCAUGGGUGUGUACAUCUAAAGUAGAAUUUAUUAUACCAUUUGUCUGUACACUUUCAGAGUGGGGGACUCUGUACACUACUUUUCUUUCUCUCCUGUUAACUACAGCUGUACGAUGGACCAGACUUUUCCUUUAUUGAAGAAACUAAUUAAAUUCUUGGCUUUGAGAUCAUGUGAGCAGGAAAAUGUUGGUUCUGAAGCUUGACUAAAGCUCUGUGUUCUUUUAGCUCCUCAAUGGUGUGAAGAAUCAAUAUUGUUUUCUUUUGGAGUCGCCCGCGGGGAGAAGUUACACAAGGUGGUUUAGCACGUGAGCAGAGUAUUUUGCAGCUUACAAUCCCACCGGUCUCCACGUGAUCUACAACUUUAAUUCAAUUGAUACGUCAUCCUCUUCUUUUUUUCCUUUUUCUUUUUUGGGUUAAGUAUAUAAUUGCCACAAUAGAUUUACUAAUGUUCCAUUUCUAUACUUAUUGUUUACAGUUUUUCAA